CUCAGGAGCCCAGCUGGUUUCACCUAGUGGAUCCCGCACCGGCGCAGGUGGAGCUGCCUGCCAGUCCCGCCCGGUCCGCCCGCACUCCUCAGCCCUUGGGCGGUCGAUGGGACUGGGCGCCGUGGAGCAGGGGGCGGUGCUCGUAGGGGAGGCUCACGCGGCACAGGAGCCCACGGCGGGUUAGGGGGAGGCUCAGGCAUGGCGGGCUGCAGGUCCCGAGCCCUGCCCCGCGGGGAGGCAGCUAAGGCCCGGCGAGAAAUCGAGCACAGCAGCUGCUGGCCCAGGUGCUAAGCCCCUCACUGCCCCGGCCGGCCGCUCCGAGUGCCGGGCCUGCCGAGCCCACGUUCACCUGGAACUCGCGCUGGCCGGCAAGCGCCGGUUCCCGCCCACGCCUCUCCCUCCACACCUCCCCGCAAGCUGAGGGAGCCGGCUCCGGCCUUGGCCAGCCCAGAAAGUGGCUACCGCAGUGCAGCCGCGGGCUGAAGGGCUCCUCAAGCGCAGCCAGAGUGGGCGCCAAGGCCGAGGAGGCGCCCAGAGCGAGCCAGGGCUGUGAGCGCUGCCAGCAAGCUGUCACCUCUCAAGCUUAUCACACUUAAACUAUGAGCAUUGAAGGAGAAUGCCUUUCCACAUGCAGUGCAAGAAACAGAAAAAGAAUAGCCACUGGAUCCUAUGUCAUAUGAGCUGCAUUUCAGAGGCGGUCCUGUGCCAUACCAUGGAGAAAGGAAUGCUGCACAGAGGCCAAGAUGAAAUCUCCACCGACAGACCUUGCUGGAUUUUCCCACUCAGUCUGUGACUAUUAGAUUAUACCCCUUUGUCCAAUUGCAUUUGUACACAGUUGUUCAUGCUUCAGUCAUGCCUAUUCAAUGAAAUUUCCAUAGAAGGCCCAAGAGGAAAGAGUUUGAAGAGCUUCCAGAAAACGGAACAUGUGGAGGUUCCUGGAAGAUAGCAAGGCCGGAGAGAACAUUGAAGCUUUGUGAGCCUUCCCUCAUACCUUUCCCUAUGCAUCUCUUCAUCUGCACCCUUUGGAAUAUCUUUUGUAAUAAACCCGUUUCCUGGAGUUCAGUAAGCUGCUCUAACAAGUUUAUCAAACCCAAGGAGGGGGUUGUGGGAAUACCAAUUUACAGGCGGUUGGUUAGAAGCACAAGUUAAACAACCUGGGGCUUGUGAUUGACAUUGGAAGUGGGGGCAGUCUUGUGCGACUGGGCCUGUGGAAUCUGAUGCUAUCCCCAGAGAAAUAGUCAGAAGACAAAUGGAGGACAGCAAGCUGGUGUUGGCUGAAUAAUUGAUUGCUUGCUUGCUGGUAGGGAGAGAUCCCUACACAUCUUGUCAUAUAAGUCUUAUGUUGAUUGCUGUGAUGUGAGAGCAGAGGAAAAACAGCUGGAGUUGUUUUUUUUUUUCCUAACCGUAGUAUAAAAUGUAUUCAAAAUACAAUAAAAAUAUUGCUG
rnacentral:lncRNA from 1 species